rnacentral:rRNA from 1 species
UACGUAGGGUGCGAGCGUUAAUCGGAAUUACUGGGCGUAAAGCGUGCGCAGGCGGUUCGUUAAGUCAGAUGUGAAAGCCCCGGGCUCAACCUGGGAACUGCAUUUGAAACUGGCGGGCUUGAGUAUGGCAGAGGGGGGUGGAAUUCCGCGUGUAGCAGUGAAAUGCGUAGAGAUGUGGAGGAACACCGAUGGCGAAGGCAGCCCCCUGGGUCAACACUGACGCUCAGGCACGAAAGCGUGGGGAGCAAACAGG